UACGAAGGGGGCUAGCGUUGCUCGGAAUCACUGGGCGUAAAGGGUGCGUAGGCGGGUUUUAAGUCAGGGGUGAAAUCCUGGAGCUCAACUCCAGAACUGCCUUUGAUACUGAAAAUCUUGAGUCCGGGAGAGGUGAGUGGAACUGCGAGUGUAGAGGUGAAAUUCGUAGAUAUUCGCAAGAACACCAGUGGCGAAGGCGGCUCACUGGCCCGGUACUGACGCUGAGGCACGAAAGCGUGGGGAGCAAACAGG
rnacentral:rRNA from 1 species